UACGUAGGGUGCAAGCGUUGUCCGGAAUUAUUGGGCGUAAAGAGCUCGUAGGCGGCUUGUCACGUCGGUUGUGAAAGCCCGGGGCUUAACCCCGGGUCUGCAGUCGAUACGGGCAGGCUAGAGUGUGGUAGGGGAGAUCGGAAUUCCUGGUGUAGUGGUGAAAUGCGCAGAUAUCAGGAGGAACACCGGUGGCGAAGGCGGAUCUCUGGGCCAUUACUGACGCUGAGGAACGAAAGCGUGGGGAGCGAACAGG
rnacentral:rRNA from 1 species